GGGUAGGUUGGGCAAUUGGUGGCCCGCCGCGCUGUAAACGCGGUUCCCUUCGGGGGCGUGCAGGUUCGAGUCCCGCCCAGCCCA
rnacentral:tRNA from 1 species